GACGAACGCUGGCGGCGUGCUUAACACAUGCAAGUCGAACGGUAAGGCCCUUCGGGGUACACGAGUGGCGAACGGGUGAGUAACACGUGGUGAUCUGCCCUGCACUUCGGGAUAAGCCUGGGAAACUGGGUCUAAUACCGGAUAGGACCAUGGACUUCACGGUUUGUGGUGGAAAGCUUUUGCGGUGUGGGAUGGGCCCGCGGCCUAUCAGCUUGUUGGUGGGGUAAUGGCCUACCAAGGCGACGACGGGGUAGCCCGGCCUGAGAGGGUGUCCGGCCACACUGGGACUGAGACACGGCCCAGACUCCUACGGGAGGCAGCAGUGGGAAUAUUGCACAAUGGGCGCAAGCCUGAUGCAGCGACGCCGCGUGAGGGAUGACGGCC
rnacentral:rRNA from 1 species